rnacentral:rRNA from 1 species
UACGUAGGGCGCAAGCGUUGUCCGGAAUUAUUGGGCGUAAAGAGCUCGUAGGCGGCUUGUUGCGUCGGUUGUGAAAGCCCGGGGCUUAACCCCGGGUCUGCAGUCGAUACGGGCAGGCUAGAGUGUGGUAGGGGAGAUCGGAAUUCCUGGUGUAGCUGUGAAAUGCGCAGAUAUCAGGAGGAACACCGGUGGCGAAGGCGGGUCUCUGGGCCGAUACUGACGCUGAGGAGCGAAAGCGUGGGGAGCGAACAGG